GAUGGACGCUGGCGGCGCGCCUAACACAUGCAAGUCGAACGGCACCCCUCCUCGGAGGGAAGCGAGUGGCGAACGGCUGAGUAACACGUGGAGAACCUGCCCCCUCCCCCGGGAUAGCCGCCCGAAAGGACGGGUAAUACCGGAUACCCCGGGGUGCCGCAUGGCACCCCGGCUAAAGCCCCGACGGGAGGGGAUGGCUCCGCGGCCCAUCAGGUAGACGGCGGGGUGACGGCCCACCGUGCCGACAACGGGUAGCCGGGUUGAGAGACCGACCGGCCAGAUUGGGACUGAGACACGGCCCAGACUCCUACGGGAGGCAGCAGUGGGGAAUCUUGCGCAAUGGGGGGAACCCUGACGCAGCGACGGCGCGUGCGGGACGGAGGCCUUCGGGUCGUAAACCGCUUUCAGCAGGGAAGAGUCAAGACUGUACCUGCAGAAGAAGCCCCGGCUAACUACGUG
rnacentral:rRNA from 1 species